rnacentral:rRNA from 1 species
UUGAACGCUGGCGGCAUGCCUUACACAUGCAAGUCGCACGGCAGCACGGGUGCUUGCACCUGGUGGCGAGUGGCGAACGGGUUAGUAAUACAUCGGAACAUGUCCUGUAGUGGGGGAUAGCCCGGCGAAAGCCGGAUUAAUACCGCAUACGAUCUACGGAUGAAAGCGGGGGACCUUCGGGCCUCGCGCUAUAGGGUUGUCCGAUGGCUGAUUAGCUAGUUGGUGGGGUAAAGGCCUACCAAGGCGACGAUUAGUAGUUGGUCUGAGAGGACGACCAGCCACACUGGGACUGAGACACGGCCAAGAAUACUACGGGAGGGAGCAGUGGGGAAUUUUGGACAAUGGGCGAAAGCAUGAUCCAGCAAGGCCGCGUGUGUGAAGAAGGCCUUCGGGUUGUAAAGCACUUUUGUCCGGAAAGAAAUCCUUGGCCCUAAUACGGUCGGGGGAUGACGGUACCGGAAGAAUAAGCACCGGCUAACUACGUG